rnacentral:rRNA from 1 species
UGGGGAAUUUUGGACAAUGGGCGAAAGCCUGAUCCAGCAAUGCCGCGUGUGUGAAGAAGGCCUUCGGGUUGUAAAGCACUUUUGUCCGGAAAGAAAUCCUUGGCUCUAAUACAGUCGGGGGAUGACGGUACCGGAAGAAUAAGCACCGGCUAACUACGUGCCAGCAGCCGCGGUAAUACGUAGGGUGCAAGCGUUAAUCGGAAUUACUGGGCGUAAAGCGUGCGCAGGCGGUUUGCUAAGACCGAUGUGAAAUCCCCGGGCUCAACCUGGGAACUGCAUUGGUGACUGGCAGGCUAGAGUAUGGCAGAGGGGGGUAGAAUUCCACGUGUAGCAGUGAAAUGCGUAGAGAUGUGGAGGAAUACCGAUGGCGAAGGCAGCCCCCUGGGCCAAUACUGACGCUCAUGCACGAAAGGCGUGGGGAGCAAAGCAGGAUUAGAUACCCUGGUAGUCCACGCCCUAAACGAUGUCAACUAGUUGUUGGGGAUUCAUUUCCUUAGUAACGUAGCUAACGCGUGAAGUUGACCGCCUGGGGAGUACGGUCGCAAGAUUAAACUCAAU